GCCUGUCGCACCGCCCGCUGGGGGCGCCCUCGGGGGGCGCCUGACCGCCCGGCUGCGCUGGGCUCUGGACCUGUGGCGCGCGAGGCGCGGCCGGACCUGGACCACGCUCCUGUUAAGUGAGCAGCCCGAGCGCAGGCGACGCCGGGACGCGGAACUUUGAGCUGCUUUUGCCGCAGUGUUGGCACUGGAGCCAUAUAACACACCUCUUUGAAAAUGACCAUCAUUUUUCUCACCUCUCAACAUUGGAAAGGGAGAUGGCUUUUUACACUGAAAUGGGACUGUAUUAUUCCUAUUUCAAGACUAUUGUGGAAGCACCCUCAUUUUUGAAUGGAGUAUGGGUGAUUAUGAAUGAUAAACUGACUGAAUAAUCCCUUGUUAUUAGUACAUUAAAAAGGUUCAAUCUUUACCCUGAGGUAAUAUUGGCCAGCUGGUACUGGAUUUAUACCAAAAUAAUGGACUUGAUUGGUAUUCAAACCAAGAUAUGUUGGACGGUUACCAGAGGAAAAGGACUCAGUCCUACUGAAAGCCGCAAAGUGUACCUGUGUAAUGUGGACACCACCUCUCCCUGAAAGCUUCUCAUAUGCAUUUCUUGUUCUUCAAAUGUUGCUUGUGACUCAUAUUCUCAGGGCUACAAAACUUUAUAGAGGAAGUGUGAUUGCACUCUGCAUUUCCAAUGUAUUUUUCAUGCUUCCUUGGCAGUUUGCUCAAUUUGUGCUUCUUACUCAGAUUGCAUCAUUAUUUGCAGUAUAUGUUGUUGGGUACAUUGAUAUAUGUAAAUUACGGAAGGUCAUUUAUAUACACAUGAUUUCUCUUGCAUUUUGUUUUGUUUCGAUGUUUGGGAACUCAAUGUUGUUAUUAUCCUUCUUUGGUAAUUAUUUGGGGUAAUCUGGCAAUGAAACCACAUUUCCUGAAAAUAAAUAUAUCUGAACUUAGUUUAUGGCCUAUGUCUAUGGAAUAUGAAGCAUCAAAGAUAUUUUUGUUUUCUUUUUUUUUAGGUUAUUCAAGGAUGUUUUUGGUUAUUUGGAACUGUCAUACUUAAAUAUUUGACAUCUAAAAUUUUUGGUAUUGCAGAUGACAGUCUUGCUGUGUUGCCCAAGCUGGCUUUGAACUCCUGACCUCAAGCAACCCUCUUGCCUUGGAGGCCUUUUGAAUAGCUGGGACUACAGGCUUACACCACUUUGCCCAGCUCGAUCUAAAUUUGAGUUCUACUUCGGCUCAAGUUUUUCCUGCAAAAAUUGGGAAGACUAUCUACUAAUAAGAGUAACUAAAUAUCUAUUAUGCAUUUGAAGUUGUUAGCACAUCUCCUGGCACAUAGUGUAGUAAUUGUUCAAUAUAUGUUAGUAAUCACUUAUUAUUGGAUGAGUGAAUGAAACAAAAAGAUUAAUUUUCACUGAUGGUUAGAAGAUGGAGCAUUAUCGGUAAGGAAUUUGAUCUGCAUAACUACUCUCAUUAUUGGCAUGAGGUAUUACAAGAGGUUCACAGAGGGGGGUACAGAAAGAACAAACUGUUCUUUCAGAAGAAACUGAGAACUGUUAUUUUCUUGAGUGAGCCCAGCUUUGCUUGUGCUCACAUUUGAUUUUCCCUGUGCACUCCAGCACCAUAGUGGUUCCUGCCUCUUUCUUAAGGGGUUAUAUAAUUAUGCAGAUCAACAUUGUGAGUCUUUUUCCCCUUGGACAGUACUUUCUGGAACUGCUAGAUUUCCAGAUGAGAGCUGUUUAUUCUGGAUUAGACUUAAUUUGGUCAGCUGAAUUCUCUUGGGUAUGAAGAGUUUUUCUUACCCUUGGCCUACUUUUUGUGAUUCUAAAUCUCCUUUUACAGUUUCAGCAAGUAUUCUGGAAAACAGAAAUAGCUGAAAGCACUGCUUUCUUUUGCCUUCUUAGUUCCUUUGCUGUUUAAUGAUCUCAGUAUGUCAGUUACAUUGCCUUCUCUGAAAGCCAAAACAAUAGAGCCCUGCAUUACAAAGGAACGCUUUGUUAUUGUCACAGUUUUCAUCGAGUGCCUACUGCGUGCCAGGCUCCUCACAGCUUGUUUCAAAACCAGAUGGUUACCCCAUGGCGUUCAGGAAGGUGAUGGAGAUAUAUUCAGGGCCCAGGGGGAAAGAAAAAGGCACUGGUCUAGCUGAGAUGGCCCAGGAAGCUCUGCGCUGCUUUUACCCACACACAGUGUCUUCUUUACCUUUUAUUGCACUUGGAUUCUAAGCUCCUGCCCUCCCAAAGAGUAACAACUUAAAAGCAGAAGAAAAUCACUGUAGUAAAUCACCCUAAUAAAUCAGCUCAUUUCCCAUGUUCUCACAGUUCUUGUGGAAGAAAUGGAGAAAAAAUACAGGAAGAAGAGAAGAAGAAGUGAAGACGGAAGCGAGUUCGACUCCUAUUCUCCCAGGGACCGCCCACCCCCACCUGCUGGACAGCAAGGUCCAUGGGAUCAGGAACUGCACGUGUCAGGGACUCUGUGUGGCACUGUAUGGCAAAUCUCCAAGAUCAGGAAGCACCGCUUUACAUAGUCCUCAUGGAUUCCAAAGCAUGAGCUGGGCUGCUUUUGAAGGGUGAGAAAUGGGAGUUGACCCCGAUCAUAGAAACCAUACCAGCUGAAAGAC